CCCCAUCUCCAUCGGCUAACACCCUCUCAUUUCACAUUUCAUUCCUUCCCCAUCUUCACAAAUUUCCCAAACGAAACCCUAGCCUCCAUCGGCACCGCCCUUGAAAUUUCGUCAUCUCUCUCCACGCCGACCGUCUGUUAUUCCGGCGGGGAGGCUCAAGGCGUCGCCAUUUCUGCUUCACCACAUCUCUGACCUCACGGCUCUCCCUCGUAGUCAGCGACGAGCUGCCUCCUUCUCGGCGUUUCCUCUGUGCCAUCGGAGCUCGCCCUUCUUCCUCGUCUCUGUCGCUUGGAAACCCCUUUCUCAACUCAAUUUCAGAAGCUAAUUUAGGAAUGGAGAAGACCCUACCCUCCUCCUUUCCUCUCGUCACAUCCAACUAUCACCAUCGUUCACCUCCGUCUUCGGUGAUACCCAUCGCGUUCUAUCGCGUGGGGAGUUGAGUUGGCAAUCGUGUGGAUUUCCACAACCUUGGUGACGCCAGGGCGCCGCUGUCGUUUCGCCACCGGAGUAGCUGCUGCCCCGCAGGCAGCUCACAGCUUCUGCCGACCUCAUACGCUCAUCCGUCGGCAAGUUCGGAGCCUUCCUUUGUCUCCGCCGGCAAUGCUCGCUGUCGCCACCGCCCAUGAGCCAUGCCGCUUCCUCGGCAAAAGCUAAGUCUCCAGUUCUUUUACAUUUAGCUAAUAACGUGUUUUUUUUCUUAAAUUCAUGGCAUCAUGAGACUCAGGCUUGAGGGCAAGCUGAGCAAAUUAGUUUCUAAGCUUGAACACAGUGGUACCAAUCUUAUCUUGUGUUAUAUUGUAUUCUGAUGUAUAUGGUGAAAUUUUAGCAUGCUGUGCUCUAGAGUUUCUGCUGUGAAACCAUUUUUGAUCACGAAAACUGAUCAUGCCGUGACUUCUAGUGUAAGAUGUGUUUAUAUGAUGGCAUGGUUCGUGUCUGAGUUUGAGAGGAAGGUGGAUGUUUACCUUCUUUGCUCUGCUCCAGCUUCUGCUCCUAGCCUCGGUUCUCCUCAGCCUUUAUCUUGCUGAUUUGUGUUGAUAUGUGAUGAUAAAGAGAGGAAAUGGAACCUAGGGGUGGCAUUUAUAGGAGCUUGUAACCGAAAGCUGCAACAACUUGUUGUUUGACUGGCAAAAGGCCUUAAAGCUGCCCUAUGUUGGUUGAUUCCUCCCUGCAGCUUGCAGGCCGUGUACUUGUGAAAUUAUGGUGGCUGCCACAUAGCCUCAGUUUCUGGCUGUCCUUUAUGCUGAAAUUUAACCGAAAAUGGCUCUAUGUGGGGGUUUUAGCACUUGGUUCAUUUGUUGCUUUUGUUGGUUUAGGGCAGGUGUACCACAAUUGACUGAUUUUCCUUGCCAAUGGCAGGUAUGAAUGGAGGGGUACAAGCUGCAAGUUCUCAGCUUUGCAGUGUGCGACUGGUGGAGUGAGAUCUGCCGGCUAUGCUUGCCUUUUCCAGCCAAUCCUUCUCCCAUUUUCUGAAAGGUAUUGGCAGCGCUCAAGGCUAGCUACCGAGGUUGCUUCCCUCGUGGUCUCGCCCUAUCGGACUUUCUGGAAUCUGGGUCGAGACAUCCCGGUGACGAAGGCCAACGUAGUUUGUUAGGGAUUUCUAAAUGUAAUAGUGUAGCUCGACUCUUAUUUUCAUUUUUCAUGUAGACCAGUCUCUGAAAUCUUUAAUAUUUAUUCAUUUCAAGCAUUUGCCCUUUA